ACGAACGCUGGCGGCAUGCCUAACACAUGCACGUCGAACGAGACCUUCGGGUCUAGUGGCGCACGGGUGCGUAACGCGUGGGAACCUGCCCUUAGGUUCGGAAUAACUCCCCGAAAGGGGUGCUAAUACCGGAUAAUGUCUUCGGACCAAAGAUUUAUCGCCUUUGGAUGGGCCCGCGUUGGAUUAGCUAGUUGGUAGGGUAAAAGCCUACCAAGGCGACGAUCCAUAGCUGGUCUGAGAGGAUGAUCAGCCACACUGGGACUGAGACACGGCCCAGACUCCUACGGGAGGCAGCAGUGGGGAAUACUGGACAAUGGGCGAAAGCCUGAUCCAGCAAUGCCGCGUGAGUGAUGAAGGCCUUAGGGUUGUAAAGCUCUUUUACCCGGGAUGAUAAUGACAGUACCGGGAGAAUAAGCUCCGGCUAACUCCGUG
rnacentral:rRNA from 1 species